GUCAGAUGAUUUGAAUCCAUAAUGCUGACCCUCCGUGAGGUACUAUAAUAGCAUGUUAGAGUUCUGAUGACG